GACGAACGCUGGCGGCGUGCCUAAUACAUGCAAGUAGAACGCUGAAGAGAGGAGCUUGCUCUUCUUGGAUGAGUUGCGAACGGGUGAGUAACGCGUAGGUAACCUGCCUUGUAGCGGGGGAUAACUAUUGGAAACGAUAGCUAAUACCGCAUAACAAUGGAUGACACAUGUCAUUUAUUUGAAAGGGGCAAUUGCUCCACUACAAGAUGGACCUGCGUCGUAUUAGCUAGUAGGUGAGGUAAUGGCUCACCUAGGCGACGAAACAUAGCCGACCUGAGAGGGGGAUUGGCCGGACUGAGACGGUGACACGGCCCAGAGUCCUACGGGAGGCAGCAGUAGGGAAUCUUCGGCAAUGGGGGCAACACUGAGCGAGCAACGCCGCGUGAGUGAAGAAGGUUUUCGGAUCGUAAAGCUCUGUUGUAAGUCAAGAACGGGUGUGAGAGUGGAAAGUUCACACUGUGACGGUAGCUGACCAGAAAGGGACGGCUAACUACGUG
rnacentral:rRNA from 1 species